AACGAACGCUGGCGGCGCGCCUAAUACAUGCAAGUCGAGCGAGAAGACGUAGCAAUACGUUUGUAAAGCGGCGAACGGGUGAGGAAUACAUGGGUAACCUACCCUCGAGUGGGGAAUAACUAGCCGAAAGGUUAGCUAAUACCGCGUACGCUCCUUGGACUUCGGUUCAGGGAGGAAAGCGAUACCGUGGGUAUCGCGCUCUUGGAUGGGCUCAUGUCCUAUCAGCUUGUUGGUGAGGAACGGCUCACCAAGGCUUCGACGGGUAGCUGGUCUGAGAGGACGAUCAGCCACACUGGCACUGCGACACGGGCCAGACUCCUACGGGAGGCAGCAGUAAGGAAUAUUGCGCAAUGGGCGAAAGCCUGACGCAGCGACGCCGCGUGGGGGAUGAAGGUCUUCGGAUUGUAAACCCCUUUUCGGGAGGGAAGAUGGAAUGGGGUAACCCCAUUCGGACGGUACCUCCAGAAGCAGCCACGGCUAACUUCGUGCCAGCCGCCGCCGU
rnacentral:rRNA from 1 species